rnacentral:miRNA from 1 species
UUGGCCCUCUUUCCUGUCCUAGG